rnacentral:rRNA from 1 species
AUUGAACGCUGGCGGCAGGCCUAACACAUGCAAGUCGAGCGGUAGAGAGGAGCUUGCUUCUCUUGAGAGCGGCGGACGGGUGAGUAAUGCCUAGGAAUCUGCCUGGUAGUGGGGGAUAACGUUCGGAAACGGACGCUAAUACCGCAUACGUCCUACGGGAGAAAGUGGGGGAUCUUCGGACCUCACGCUAUCAGAUGAGCCUAGGUCGGAUUAGCUAGUUGGUGAGGUAAAGGCUCACCAAGGCGACGAUCCGUAACUGGUCUGAGAGGAUGAUCAGUCAGACUGGAACGGAGACACGGUCCAGACUCCUACGGGAGGCAGCAGUGGGGAAUAUUGGACAAUGGGCGCAAGCCUGAUCCAGCCAUGCCGCGUGUGUGAAGAAGGUCUUCGGAUUGUAAAGCACUUUAAGUUGGGAGGAAGGUCAGUAGCUUGAUACGUUGCUGAUUUGACGUUACCGACAGAAUAAGCACCGGCUAACUCUGUGCCAGCCGCCGCCGUAAUAC